GCGGGGUUCGCAUAAUCUGGUAGUGCGCUAGUCUCGAAAACUAGUGCGGCCUUGCCGCAUAUGGGUUCAAAUCCCAUACCCCGCGC
rnacentral:tRNA from 1 species